rnacentral:rRNA from 1 species
GACGAACGCUGGCGGCGUGCUUAACACAUGCAAGUCGAACGGUGAAGCGCCUUCCUUUUUGGUGGGUGUGGAUGAGUGGCGAACGGGUGAGUAACACGUGAGUAACCUGCCCCCUUCUUCUGGAUAACCGCAUGAAAGUGUGGCUAAUACGGGAUAUUCUGGGUCUGUCGCAUGAUGGGUCUGGGAAAGAUAUUGUUUCGGUGGGGGAUGGGCUCGCGGCCUAUCAGCUUGUUGGUGGGGUGAUGGCCUACCAAGGCGGUGACGGGUAGCCGGCCUGAGAGGGUGGACGGUCACACUGGGACUGAGACACGGCCCAGACUACUACGGGAGGCAGCAGGGGGGAAUAUUGCACAAUGGGCGCAAGCCUGAUGCAGCGACGCCGCGUGAGGGAUGGAGGCCUUCGGGUUGUGAACCUCUUUCGCCAGUGAAGCAGGCCUGCCUCGUUUGUGGGUGGGUUGACGGUAGCUGGAUAAGAAGCGCCGGCUAACUACGUG